AGAGGGUGCGAACGUUGCUCGGGAUUUACUGGGGCGUAAAGCGCGUGUAGGCGGACUCGCAAGUCGGGUUGUGAAAUCCCUGGGGCUCAACCUAGGGAACUGCAUCCGAAACUGUUUGUCUUGAGUAAUGGAGAGGGUGGCGGAAUUCCCGGUGUAGAGGUGAAAUUCGUAGAUAUCGGGAGGAACAUCAGUGGCGAAGGCGGCCACCUGGACAUUUACUGACGCUGAGACGCGAAAGCGUGGGGAGCAAACAGGAUUAGAUACCCUGGUAGUCCACGCCGUAAACGAUGAGCACUAGGUGCAGCGGAUAUUGACCUCUGCUGUGCCGUAGCUAACGCGUUAAGUGCUCCGCCUGGGGAGUACGGCCGCAAAGGCUAA
rnacentral:rRNA from 1 species